ensembl:lncRNA novel transcript
GUCUGCUGUGUGGAUGGAGCAGCAGGAGCCAGUGAGUCCUGGGCAGCCUCAGGGCCACCUGGGCACAGCCCCCCUCUGUCCCUCUGUCCCGGGGGCCCUGUCCUCUUGGCGGGGCUCCAGGCCUCUGGCGGCUGCUUUUGUGCUCUUUUGCGGGGCAUCUGUGAGAACAGUCUGGAAGACAAUGACAGAGUGCUUGCCUGGGGAGUCGGAGGAGCUCCGGUUAUGUCCAAGCCGAACCCCUGGAGCCUCUGGACUGCCUGGCACUGAGGGAGCGGGAACUGGACGGUGGGCAUGUGGCCGGGAGGAGCCUUCCAACCAGAAGAAACUAAGUUUUCAAGUUUCCUGCUGUGUCAUCUCAACUGGAAAGUAGGCAUAUCGGGGUAUUUCUGAAGGUGUCGUCCCCCAGGAAGUCUCCUGCCCUCCCUCUCUGCACAGGGAGCCGCUUCCCACUCUGUCCUUCGAUGGACACGCUGAUGCAGCUGGGAAUGAGCUUGGAAACGCUAACUGACCAGAGUGAUUUCUGGGCCCUGAGUGCAUUACAGAUGGAGAAAGCUUCUGAAUUCUCUAUGGAACUCCAGGCCUGACCUUGGGAUGGGAGACGGGCGGCUGGGCGCACAAGGAAAGAGGCCUCGCCUUGCGCCACGGAGGAGGUGCUACCCCGAGCACUGUCUGGGGAGGAUUUCAAGGCUGUGCCCAGGCCACCCCUGAUGGAUGCAUCAGUCACUUCAGCCAUGGUGCCGGCAGGGAGCCCAAGCGCGGGAGCAUCCUCUGUCGUCCUCGCAGCCGGGACCCUCUCAUUUCCUGUCUGCACAGCAGCCCCGGCGUGUUCCUCUGUGAAAGCCAGGAGCACGGGGGUGACGCCUUCUGGGCCUGCCACUGUUCCUUCAGAAGCGACCUUUGACCUCCCCAUCAGCCUGUGCUGCUAGGUCUGGGGUCAUUUUCUGCUCAGAUAUCUCCUCUCCCUGACGAUCGAUUCCCCCUGGAGGGGUGAGCCACUGUCGGGAGGGGAGACGGAGCUGAGCAUGCAAGGAAGGGCAACCCCAGCCCAGAUCCUGGAGGGCUUUGGGCUUCCAGGUAGAAGCCGGUCUUCGCGUCAGCAAACCAAGAAAAUGCCUCCCUGAAAUGGUCUCCAGGUCCCCCCAAACACCUGCCUCCCCCUCCAGCCUUCUCCACUGAUGCCUGCAGCUGCAUAAGUAGUGUUUCAUUGCACCCCAGCAGGAGCUGGUACCGGUUCUUCCCUUGCCUCAUGCUGGGGUAGAUUUUAUUUAGGAUUGGGAGCAGGGAAAGGAGCUAGAGAAAGGAAGGGUUCCAGGAAGCUGGGAAGGGAGAUGUCAGGUGGGGUGAUGGGAAAGGAGGCCAAGGACCACCUUUGCCUGUAUGGUGGGCUGAACUGUGUCCCCACAAAAGAUAGGGCGUCCUAACCCCAGAUACCUGUGAAUGUGACCUUAUUUGGGAAUAGAGUUUUUGCAAAUGGAAUCAAGUCAUGAUGACGUCAUUAGCAUGAGCCUUAAUUUAAUAGGAUUGAUGUCCUUCUAAGAAGAGAAGACAGGGACACACAGGAGAAAGCCAUGUGAUGAAGCAGGCAGGAGCUGGAGCGACACUACCACAGGCCAAGGAACAUUGGGACCAGAAGAGGCGAGGAGGGGCCGUUCCCUAGAGGCUUUGGAGAGAGCAUGGCUCAUCAACACCUUGACUUCAGACUGGUAGCCCCCAAACGGUGACAGAAUAAUUGUCUAUUGUUUUAAGCCCCCUGGCUUAUAGUACGUUGUAAAGGCAGCCCUAGGAAGCCCUAAGCCAGUUUCACUCAUUAUGAUAAAUAUCAUAGAUGAUGACUGUCAUAUAUUGGAUGUGCUGGAGAUCUUCACAGCCACAGAAUAAACUGCAGGCCAAAAAAAGAACAUUCAUAUGAGGUCCCCAGCAGGGGCUGGCUGUGCAAGUCAGAGACUGCAGAACCAGGUAGGCAGACAAAGCGAAAUUGCCUGGAGCUGGACACAUAUGUGCACCACUGGGAAAUAAAUAGACUUGCGGUGGAAAUGACCAACGUGGAUGGCCAGGGAAAUGCCAGCAGCAAUAAAAGAAAAGAGUGCACAAGGCCUGUAAAUCAGCAGAUGCGAGAGCUCCCGAAAAGUAGCGAAGUCUGAAAUAAAAGGCAGGCUCAGGCUGGUGGUCCAAGAAGUUAAAGCAGGAAAUGAGAGCGUGGGCACUGUGUGUGCUGGGCUCCCAAAGACUGCAGGGAGUGGCCAGAUGUCUCCAGAGGCAGCGUCAUGUGGAGCAAAGGGGACCUGAGGAGUGUCAGCAUCCUCAGUCACCUCCUCCUUUGAACCAGCUGUUCGGAAUCUGGUCUCUUACUUAGGAUAAUUGUAGGAACUGACUUUUUUUUUUUUUCUUUUCUCACCUAUUGGCUGACUGAAAGAACCGACUUUUAAAUGAGCACCUCCCUCAUUAGAAUUGCUCAAAUGACAACAGCUGCAGCGGUGGGAGCAGCAGCAAGUUUGAAAAUCCAACAGUCUGCAUUCCACAGUGACAGUAUUCUUGGUCACCUCGGAGACAUGGCAGCCGGGAGCCACGGCUCUCAUUGCUCGGGGUUGGUUGGGUUACCAGCCCUAGGGCUACAGAAUGUAUCUAAAAGAGAGGCUUGGCUGGCAGUUUAAGAGGGGUGCAGGACAGCAGGAUGGGGUUCAUGAGGCAAGAGUGGAUGGAGCCUGUGGCCCAGUUGGGAUGAGAUGGGACAGUUCCAAUGGGCAGGACAAACCCCAGCCACCGUCUCAGGGUAUUUGACAGGAGGUAAACAGCAGACAAAAUCCUGGAGCACAGGGGGGCAGGGCUGUCUCGUUCCCAUGAAUGGCAACAUUGGAGGACUGACCCCCAAGAGCGUGGUUUUGUCGUCAGCCUCAAAGGCAUGGCUUUCUCUCUGGCGUUGGCAGCAGCCGCUCAGCACCAUAGCUAGGGAGCAGCGGCCUAGAUCCCUCACAUUUAUUUCACUUUGACUCUUUUGACCAAAGCACCACUGUUUAAGGCCUCAUUUUUCUUCUCCCAUGUGGAAAAUCAUAUUGCUUAAAUUUAAAAAUGAAGAUAGAUAGAUGGAUGAAAAAAUCCCCAUAGAGCAAAAUUCUGCCUGUGACAAAAAGGUCUCCACGUCUGAGGUGACAGUCAACUUCAAGUGACGCCAAGAACAUCAAAAUCUCUCUAUAAAAAAAGAAUAGGAAGCAAUGGGGCUCGUGAAAAUGCCACAUCAAGAAAAGUCAACAAAUACAUACUUAGUGGUAACUAUGGUUGCAGAGAAAGAGAAAACUUAAAACAAUAUGAACAUAUGUGGUCAUAUAGACUGAAAACCCACCGUGUCAUAAAACCCCAGGACACAGAACGCAUCAGCGUAGACAGCAGCUGUACAGACAAUGCUGGGGCGGUUGUGGAGUGGGAUUAGAAGACAGGAGGCGCCAUCGAGUCAGCUCCAAGGCCAUUAGCCUUGUGACGCCAGCAAAAUGUCUUCAAAAGUCACUGGAUUUUUCAAUGAGAAGGAGAAGUUAGGCAGCUACCAAAUAGCUGAAAGAAUAUUAAAUCUGAUGGAUCCAGCCAAAUAAAAAUGUUCAUUCAUAGGAUCUGUGGUUGUUGAGGAAUCUUCUAAGUUUCAUAAAUGGCAAAAACUCUUUCUCAGACUUACAGAUCAGACCUCACAUAUGCAUGAGAAGAGAAGCUAUUUUUGUCUCUGGGUUCCAGUUACACAGCCACAGCCUGGAAGCUUUGUUCUCAGAAUUCAUGCUGUCAUCAAAAGGACUCAAUACAAACACUGCAGCCAGCCUGCCAUGGCUUAGCUGUGACCGCAGCUGCAAACUCUUCUGUCAUGUGAAAACUUUUGGCUUUUUCCGGGUGUGGAAUGCCUGUUGGUCCCAGCUCCGCCUGCCUUUCCUCCUUCUGGAAUCGUGUCCAUCCUUUCAGUCAACUCAGUUUGUCCGCAUCUUCCAGGCCUCAUACCUCCGCCUGAUCUGCAUGGCAGUGGUGGGCUUGCUCUUUGUGCUAUUACACUGACUGUGAUCGUGUUUAGUGAGUCAGCUUCUACAAAGUUGACCUGCACCUGUGUGAUGUCUCUCCCUAGCUGGAUGCAGCUUCUCCAUGGGCUAAGUUCAUCAUGUUAACAGUGCCUGCCCCACAGGCCCUCAGGGGAUCUUAGUGGGUGGUCUAUGGAGAGACUUUAGUGGGUAUAUGAAUCCCCAAAAUUGUAGGCAAAGUUUGUGUAUGCUGUGGCCUAUCGACAGCGGGGACUCUGCCGCUGAUUUCUCCUAAGAAGCCUCCUGGGGGUUUGAGCGAAUCGUGGUGGUCUCCUUCCCUCUGGAGUGAUUAGUUUUGGCUUUGGCUCAACAUGGUGCAGACCCAUGGGAUCCAAAGGGAAGUUGGCCGGGCAUUUCUGGGAAGGAUGUCUCUUCUUCUGAUUUCUGAGUGAGGGUAGGAAGCCCUCUUCUUCAUCAGACGCCAUGGCUCUUACACGAAUGAUGCCUAGAGCAGACACAGCCCUUCCAGGACCAGAGGCCAAGGCUGACAAUGGGACAAGAGGGCGGAGGAAGAAGUGGGGAGCACCUAAGCCUUCCUCUGACCAAGCACUGUCCUAACCAAUUCUGAUU